rnacentral:ncRNA from 2 species
AUGAGAACAGAGGGAGAGUCCGUAGUCGGAGUCUAUUCCGAUGAAGCGGCGCCGAAGGAGCAAGCCUAGUGUGAAUCUCUCAGGCAAAAGUACUUCUGUUUGACG